CCUACGGGGGGCACCAGUGGGGAAUAUUGCACAAUGGGCGCAAGCCUGAUGCAGCCAUGCCGCGUGUAUGAAGAAGGCCUUCGGGUUGUAAAGUACUUUCAGCGGGGAGGAAGGUGUUGAGGUUAAUAACCUCAGCAAUUGACGUUACCCGCAGAAGAAGCACCGGCUAACUCCGUGCCAUCAGCCGCGGUAAUACGGAGGGUGCAAGCGUUAAUCGGAAUUACUGGGCGUAAAGCGCACGCAGGCGGUCUGUCAAGUCGGAUAUGAAAUCCCCGGGCUCAACCUGGGAACUGCAUUUGAAACUGGCAAGCUAGAGUCUCGUAGAGGGGGGUAGAAUUCCAGGUGUAGCGGUGAAAUGCGUAGAGAUCUGGAGGAAUACCGGCGGCGAAGGCGGCCCCCUGGACGAAGACUGACGCUCAGGUGCGAAAGCGUGGGGAGCAAACAGGAUUAGAUACCCGUGUAGUC
rnacentral:rRNA from 1 species